CCACUGCACAGUUGCACACCGGGAGGGAGAAGCCCAGAUCAUUGAUUUUAAAUCCGUCUUCUUUUAAAUACAAUUCUAAUACUGCAUGUAUUAAGACGAAGGAGGAGGAAGGUUGGAGAAGAGGGUAAAGGAAGAGGAGAAAGAAGAAAGGAAAGAAAAACUAAGACGCUAUUUUAAAUAAGAGGCAAACCAAGAGAAAACUAUCUUACCAGAUUACAUUCCCAAAAGUGAGUUAAAUAAAACAACUAUACUCUUCCUUGAGGCAUUGAAAACCACACCCUGCAGGCAGAUGGGAGAAAGCCAAGAUUUCACCAUGGAUCCAAUGGAAAAUCCUGUUCUUCAAGUGAGAGAAAGCAAGUCACAAAACAGCUG
rnacentral:lncRNA from 13 species